AACAGAUCAUAAUAAGAAUUUGAAUUCAAGUGAACCAACCUUUGAUUUUUUCAGGUCCAGAGGAGAAGACAAACUCCACCGUGGCAUCAGAUGGAAAACGCUCGUCUGGUGGUCAGCUGUAAAUGUCAUCUUCUCAAGGGACCCAGAUUUAUGAAAGCAUACCAGAGCAUCAGUGAUGUGGGAAACCUCCAUAAAGGAAUCAAACAGAGUUUCUGCUCCAAUAUUUCAAACACACUAAUACCUUCCACAGAUGUGUUCUGAGUCGUAUGAACCCACAAUGGUCUGUUUAUGUACAUUAGCACUGGUUCAUUUAGUGUAAUGGAUUGACAACCACAUACAAAGCCUCCCUUCCCUUACAGACAGACUUCUCAGCUGUGGGUGUUGUAUCAAUUCACAGAAACUGAAACCAAGAGGAAAUGAGGUAAUGACCAUGUUCAUUAUGGACUUAACCAACAGACCAGUGUUCACCGGGCCUCCUUUACACUCUCUGAGGGACGGUAAGAAACACUCGAUCCCUUCAUACAGUACAACUCAUUCUUGUUACUAACCUCCAGGGAGCUGUCAUUACGUCCAAGAUGGAGACUUAGCCUCUACUAUUAAAGGAUUUAUUUGACCACAGUAUUACGAGGUCGCUCUCUGCAACAUAUCACUGUGAGCAAAUUCCCACUGUGCUGAUUUCCAAAGAGCUGCUAUUAUGUAAGGAGUUGUAUUGAGUGAUUAAUCAGCAAAUUCUCCCUGCAUGACGCUUAUCCAAUAAAGCAAGAUCAUCUAAAACCCA